ACGCUCGACACCUACGGAAGGCAGCAGUGAGGAAUAUUGGUCAAUGGGCGCAGGCCUGAACCAGCCAAGUAGCGUGAAGGAUGACUGCCCUAUGGGUUGUAAACUUCUUUUAUAUGGGAAUAAAGUUUUCCACGUGUGGAAUUUUGUAUGUACCAUAUGAAUAAGGAUCGGCUAACUCCGUGCCCGCAGCCGCGGUAAUCUGAGCGGGCUGGCAAGGC
rnacentral:rRNA from 1 species